GUCAUGCACAGUUACUUUUAUUUUGUGGAAUUGGUACAGCUUGCUUCCCUCCCCUCCUCUCCCUCCGAAAUCCUUAGCUUUUCCUCAGAGGUGCCACAGAGGGUGGAGGGCAGUUGGGAGCUCUCCAGGAUGGGGCAGAGGCUGACGCUGGGGCUUGGAGGGUGCAAAGAUGAGGGGCCCUCUGAGACCCCUCUCUUGGCUCCGCUGUGCGGCAGAAGAGAAGGGCUGGGCCCUGACGGCGCCUUGGGCCGGCCUACAGCCGUGGGCGGAGGGAGGGCCUCGGCUCCUGGGAGGCCGGAAGCCCCGCCAGGGUAGCUUGGCUUCUCCAGGGGAGGAAGUCUGGGUACACUGGGGCGGCACUGGUGCCCUGUAGAGGCCACCUCCCUGGGUUCCCGCCGACAGGUUGUGGGACUGCAUGAUUCCAAAAUCAAUUAUUCCCCUAGCCUCUACUGUACUUGUAAAUUAAUGGUUAAAAUGUGCUUGUUAGUUCUGGGAUAAUAGAAUCUGUAACGAAACAGAGUUCCUAAGUAAAAUUGCUCAACCCCUUGUUUGUCCGGAGAACGAAUGUUCCCGGGCCCACUACCUGUAGAACAAUCCAUCAGUGUGUCUGCUAACCAUCAGUACGUGACGGUCGUGACCAUUAGUAUGUCUGCUGACCAUCAGUACGUGACAGUCGACCACUAACCUUUGUUCCUUUUUUUCCCGUAAAUCUACAUGUUAACCUCCCCCUCAACCCCCUAUAAAACAGCCUCGUACUCUGAGCCAGUUGCCUCUCUUAGCUACUUUGCUUUGGGAGUGCCGUCUGGCCAGACUAAUAAAGGUCUGUUUUAUUUUCCAACUUGUCCGGUGUGUUCCUUCCCGGGUGUUCGUCGCUGCAGUCAGCUCCUCGGAGCGUUUGGUAAGGCCCUCGGUCUUACAAGGUGAGGGUCAGUUAUGUCUCCUGUAAGAUUUCACGCUACCACAUUUUGUGGCCCCUUGCAAAGUUCGAAGGUCACGAUAAAGAGCUGUACAGGCUUGACCCCUAAGCCCCUCGGGCCACUUCCGUCUUCUACACCAGAGAACAGAGAAUGGCACUGUAAUUGAAGGACUCACCUCCGCCCUCUUCUGGACGGAUGCGGGCUGAGCCUUCUGAGCAGGGGAACCCAGGGGAGAAGCAGAGAGCGACACCCCUAUACAAGGUCUUCCCAAGUCCAUAUGGUCUUCAGGCUGCAUAACCACCGAUAAAAUGUUCUCCACGGCGUUAGAGGCCAGCAGGUUCCAACGCCCAUCAGCGAUUGCUGAGACCCAGGGGCUGCGGGAAGGGUUGGAGAAAAGAAUCUAUUUGACACAACCAGGUAGGGC
ensembl:lncRNA